AACGAACGCUGGCGGCAGGCUUAACACAUGCAAGUCGAACGCUCCGCAAGGAGAGUGGCAGACGGGUGAGUAACACGUGGGAACGUACCCUUUACUACGGAACAACUCCGGGAAACUGGAGCUAAUACCGUAUGUGCCCUUUGGGGGAAAGAUUUAUCGGUAAAGGAUCGGCCCGCGUUGGAUUAGCUAGUUGGUGGGGUAAAGGCCUACCAAGGCGACGAUCCAUAGCUGGUCUGAGAGGAUGAUCAGCCACAUUGGGACUGAGACACGGCCCAAGCUCCUACGGGAGGCAGCAGUGGGGAAUAUUGGACAAUGGGCGCAAGCCUGAUCCAGCCAUGCCGCGUGUGUGAUGAAGGCCUUAGGGUUGUAAAGCACUUUCACCGGAGAAGAUAAUGACGGUAUCCGGAGAAGAAGCCCCGGCUAACUUCGUGCCAGCAGCCGCCGUAA
rnacentral:rRNA from 1 species